rnacentral:rRNA from 1 species
UGGGGAAUAUUGGACAAUGGGCGCAAGCCUGAUCCAGCAAUGCCGCGUGUGUGAAGAAGGCCUUCGGGUUGUAAAGCACUUUUAUCAGGAGCGAAACGCUGUCGGCUAAUACCCGGCGGAACUGACGGUACCUGAGGAAUAAGCACCGGCUAACUUCGUGCCAGCAGCCGCGGUAAUACGAAGGGUGCAAGCGUUAAUCGGAAUUACUGGGCGUAAAGCGUGCGUAGGCGGUUUCUUAAGUCUGCUGUGAAAUCCCCGGGCUCAACCUGGGAAUGGCAGUGGAUACUGGGAGGCUAGAGUGUGUCAGAGGGUGGUGGAAUUCCCGGUGUAGCGGUGAAAUGCGUAGAGAUCGGGAGGAACAUCAGUGGCGAAGGCGGCCACCUGGGACAACACUGACGCUGAGGCACGAAAGCGUGGGGAGCAAACAGGAUUAGAUACCCUGGUAGUCCACGCCCUAAAGCGAUGCGAACUGGAUGUUGAUCUCAACUCGGAGAUCAGUGUCGAAGCUAACGCGUUAAGUUCGCCGCCUGGGGAGUACGGUCGCAAGACUGAAACUCAAAUG